rnacentral:rRNA from 1 species
AUUGAACGCUGGCGGCAGGCCUAACACAUGCAAGUCGAACGAGUGGCGGACGGGUGAGUAAUGUCUGGGAAACUGCCUGAUGGAGGGGGAUAACUACUGGAAACGGUCGCUUAUACCGCAUACCAUCGGAUGUGCCCAGAUGGGAUUAGCUAGUGGGUGGGGGAACGGCUCACCUAGGCGACGAUCCCUAGCUGGUUUGAGAGGAUGACCUGCAACACGGGAACGGAGACACGGUCCAGACGCCAACGGGAGGCAGCAGUGGGGAACAUGGGACAAUGGGCGCAAGCCUGAGGCAGCCAUGCCGCGGGUAUGAGGAAGGCCUUCGGGUUGUAAAGUACUUUCAGCGGGGAGGCGUUACCCGCAGAAGAAGCACCGGCUAACUCCGUGCCAGCAGCCGCGGUAAUUC